UGGGGAAUUUUGGACAAUGGGCGAAAGCCUGAUCCAGCAAUGCCGCGUGUGUGAAGGAAGGCCUUCGGGUUGUAAAGCACUUUUGUCCGGAAAGAAAUCCUUGGCUCUAAUACAGUCGGGGGAUGACGGUACCGGAAGAAUAAGCACCGGCUAACUACGUGCCAGCAGCCGCGGUAAUACGUAGGGUGCAAGCGUUAAUCGGAAUUACUGGGCGUAAAGCGUGCGCAGGCGGUUUGCUAAGACCGAUGUGAAAUCCCCGGGCUCAACCUGGGAACUGCAUUGGUGACUGGCAGGCUAGAGUAUGGCAGAGGGGGGUAGAAUUCCACGUGUAGCAGUGAAAUGCGUAGAGAUGUGGAGGAAUACCGAUGGCGAAGGCAGCCCCCUGGGCCAAUACUGACGCUCAUGCACGAAAGCGUGGGGAGCAAACAGGAUUAGAUACCCUGGUAGUCCACGCCCUAAACGAUGUCAACUAGUUGUUGGGGAUUCAUUUCCUUAGUAACGUAGCUAACGCGUGAAGUUGACCGCCUGGGGAGUACGGUCG
rnacentral:rRNA from 1 species